UACGGGGGGGGCAAGCGUUGUUCGGAAUUACUGGGCGUAAAGGGCUCGUAGGCGGCCAACUAAGUCGGACGUGAAAUCCCUCGGCUUAACCGAGGAACUGCGUCCGAUACUGGAUGGCUCGAGUUUGGGAGAGGGAUGCGGAAUUCCAGGUGUAGCGGUGAAAUGCGUAGAUAUCUGGAGGAACACCGGUGGCGAAGGCGGCAUCCUGGACCAACACUGACACUGAGGAGCGAAAGCCAGGGGAGCAAACGGG
rnacentral:rRNA from 1 species